UGCUAUCUAAAGUAUAUGCCAAAGACCCAAAUCUCAUCUAAAAGGAUCAAGGCAUUUUAAUUAUCUUGUUUAUUUUCCCCACUUUCACGCAUUAAUGCUCCCCUAAUUAUAUUUUAGCUACAUUUAGUGCACUGGAAUGCAGUGAAAUAUGAAAGUUUUGAAGAUGCUGCAUUGGAGGAAAAUGGCUUGGCUGUGAUUGGAGUAUUUUUGAAGAUCCAAACGCUCCUGCUUUGCACUGAGCCUUAUCCCAGGAGAACAUCCCAGCUGUCGGGCAAAUCGAACGGGCGUGAUUACACGGUGAUUCUCCGGAAAAGGCCUCCUGGGGAAUUUGACCUGACCUGGAUCAUUCCCCAGUUUUUGUGAAUGGAAGCGGUUGAGCCGUUAAACUUUGGUAGCGCUCUACAUCGACUCGCCUACAAGGGCUAGACUGGAAGGACAAAAAGCAGCACCAGAAAAGCCGUGGUUGGCAAAGUUGAAAGCGAUAAGCCCGAAACAGAUGCGACUUUCCCGCUGACCGCGACCCGGACGGCGCUCCGUAGUUGUCUUGAAGUUUCAUUCUUCACGGUGCCGGGGUAGAUUUGAGUGCCCCCCGAGAACUCACCCCCACCUCCAGCUUUCCUUCGAAGUAAGUAUGGUAUCUUGGCCCCUGCAGAGUGGUUUGCGAUGCAGAGGUUGGAAGGAAGUGCAUUUACUCUAUCGUGGCAUUUGGCUUUUCGUUCUUACCCCCGG
rnacentral:lncRNA from 1 species